GACGAACGCUGGCGGCGUGCUUAACACAUGCAAGUCGAACGAUGAAACCUAGCUUGCUAGGUCGAUUAGUGGCGAACGGGUGAGUAACACGUGACUAACCUGCCCCUUUCUCUGGGAUAACGCUCCGAAAGGAGUGCUAAUACCGGAUACUCACAUCGAGGCACAUGCCUUGGUGUGGAAAGUUUUUCGGAAAGGGAUGGAGUCGCGGCCUAUCAGCUUGUUGGUGAGGUAACGGCUCACCAAGGCGACGACGGGUAGCCGGCCUGAGAGGGCGACCGGCCACACUGGGGCUGAGACACUGCCCAGACUCCUACGGGAGGCAGCAGUGGGGAAUAUUGCACAAUGGGCGCAAGCCUGAUGCAGCGACGCCGCGUGAGGGAUGAAGGUCUUCGGAUUGUAAACCUCUUUCAGUAGGGACGAAGCGAAAGUGACGGUACCUAAAGAAGAAGCACCGGCUAACUACGUGCCAGCCGCCGCGGUAA
rnacentral:rRNA from 1 species